GGGGGCAUCCGUCCCCGCGUUGGCGGGAAAGUCCGGCGGGCACGGCCCGGGCGCAGGACACCCCCCGACCGUCCCUCCCGUCCGGUCCCCACGGACACCGACCUCCCUCCCUUCUGGCCGCUGCCACUGAUCGAUGGAACCACCCGGAGCUGCGAGGGAGUCGACGCGUGAUGUCUCCAAUGUUUGAUCUUGUGUAGUCAUCAAAAGUACUUGACAUCAUUCGCUGACAUUCCCAGGGAUUGCGUGACUUCCAAACAGUUGUAACCUCUGUUCAAAUGGCCUGGGUUGGAGAAGAAUCAGCUUUCUACCUGUGGGUUUGAGUGGUACAAUACACCCACAUUUAGUGGUGUAGGACUCACCCUGCAUAUGGAUUCUGAAAACUGGCCCAUCUUCCUUGAGGAACUACCAGAGACAAGUUCUGGUUUGAUUCGCCCAGCCCUGCUCCUAUCCCAUGCUGGACCACCACACCCUCUGAAAAUAUGGGGCCCUGCAAUUCUAGCCCGAAGGAGACCCGAGGGAUAAAUCAACUCACCAUGAAAAUUUCAACUUUUUCUGCCACUUAAUUUUAUGCAAAGAAUGCCUCAAUUUCCUAGAAACUCAACUAUAUAAACAUUAUAAAAUAAUCUAUUUUCCUUGUGUUUUUAAUUUUAAAAAUUAAAUAAAGCUAC